rnacentral:rRNA from 1 species
GACGAACGCUGGCGGCGUGCUUGACACAUGCAAGUCGAACGGAAAGGCCUGCUUUCCCUUGUGGAUUGCGGGUACUCGAGUGGCGAACGGGUGAGUAACACGUGAGUGAUCUGCCCCCAACUUGGGUAUAAGCCUGGGAAACUGGGUCUAAUUCCCGAUAGGACUGCAGGGUGGUGCCUGUGGUGGAAAACGAUUUUCUAGUGGUUGGGGAUGAGCUCGCGGCCUAUCAGCUUGUUGGUGGGGUAAUGGCCCACCAAGGCGGCGACGGGUAGCCGGCCUGAGAGGGUGGACGGCCACAUUGGGACUGAGAUACGGCCCAGACUCCUACGGGAGGCAGCAGUGGGGAAUAUUGCACAAUGGGCGGAAGCCUGAUGCAGCGACGCCGCGUGGGGGAUGACGGCCUUCGGGUUGUAAACUCCUUUCGACCGCGAGGAAGCCACCUGGUUGGAAGGGUGGUGACGGUAGUGGUAGAAGAAGCACCGGCUAACUACGUG